UCUUUUCCCAGGAAAAACCAGCUCUUUACUGCUGAACUGGAAUAAGCAUCAAUCCACGGAAAAUCCAAUUGAGAUUUGUUCCAAUUUAGCAGUAAAGAGCAGGUUUUCCCAGGGGAAAGU